ACGGGGCUGCAGAGAGAUCAGUGUUACAACUACUGUUACUCUGACCUUAGAAUAUUUAAAUAGGCUACCAAAUUAAAAAGCUGGAGGUCAAAAUGGGUGGGCAAGCAAAGAUUACUGGCAGCAAAGUCACUGUGAGUAAACACAGCCAUUAUGCCCUUAGCAGCUGCUUCCACAACCUUGGACAUUGGACUUUUUCAGGGACAUGUUGCCUGGGAGAUGAGAUUACUCCUAUUUUUUUUUGUUUUCCCCCAAAGUUAAGCAGAAUCUGUAUUUCCUACCUGGCAGCCACAAUGAGCAAAACAGAACUAUGAUGCAGUUUCCUGUCUGUGGGGAAUUACUUUGAUGCACAAACCAGCAAUUUUAACGUGAACCACAAAGCACCAACAAUAGCAGUAACCUCAAGUCUGCUCCUGCUGAGCCUGCCUGGCACAGUUCCUGGGGAGCUGCAGUUACUGCUUUGCAGCAAUGGAAAUGAUUCUCCUUUCUUCCAAGCCCAGGACUGCACUAAUUCCAUAAAGGCACUUUCCCCCCUGCCAGCUCCCCACUUACCACGACAGUGACUCCCUCGUGCACCAUGGAGGGCGAUGCGUACAAACUCGUGGAGUAUUUCCCUACGUACAGGGUUGGGCUGCAGAAACACAGUCACUGUUAGCAGCAGGCAAAUGGAUGUGUUACCAUCUCAGCUAAAACCUGGGCAGCACAGCCCUGCAGAACCAACACAGGGGCUUCUCAAAUCAUCAGUAUUUGUAUCUUGAAAAACCUUGAUCUGUAAAAUUAUUUGAAGUACUGCUGUAUUAUGAAGCCUUUUUUUUAAUUAUGAAAGCAUUGUCAGUUCAUUAUUCACAGCACUGUCACUCAUUUGACAUAA